GAGCAUAUAGCUCAGUGGUAGAGCGCAUGCUUAGCAUACACCAGGUUCUGGGUUCAAUCCCCAGUACCUCCU
rnacentral:tRNA from 1 species